rnacentral:rRNA from 1 species
UACGUAGGUGGCAAGCGUUGUCCGGAAUUAUUGGGCGUAAAGCGCGCGCAGGCGGUCCUUUAAGUCUGAUGUGAAAGCCCACGGCUCAACCGUGGAGGGUCAUUGGAAACUGGGGGACUUGAGUACAGAAGAGAAGAGUGGAAUUCCACGCGUAGCGGUGAAAUGCGUAGAUAUCUGGAGGAACACCGGUGGCGAAGGCGGCAUCCUGGACCGGCAUUGACGCUGAGGAGCGAAAGCCAGGGGAGCAAACGGG